rnacentral:rRNA from 1 species
UACGGAGGGGGGCUAGCGUUGUUCGGAAUUACUGGGCGUAAAGCGCACGUAGGCGGCUUUGCAAGUCAGAGGUGAAAGCCCGGGGCUCAACCCCGGAAUUGCCUUUGAGACUGCAUCGCUAGAAUUGUGGAGAGGUGAGUGGAACUGCGAGUGUAGAGGUGAAAUUCGUAGAUAUUCGCAAGAACACCAGUGGCGAAGGCGGCUCACUGGCCCGAUACUGACGCUGAUGCACGAAAGCGUGGGGAGCAAACAGG